UACGUAGGGAGCAAGCGUUGUCCGGAUUUAUUGGGCGUAAAGAGCUCGUAGGCGGCUUAGCAAGUCAGGUGUGAAACCUCCAGGCUCAACCUGGAGACGCCACUUGAUACUGCUAUGGCUCGAGUUUGGUAGGGGAAGACGGAAUUCCUGGUGUAGCGGUGAAAUGCGCAGAUAUCAGAGAGGAACACCGAUGGCGAAGGCAGUCUUCUGGGCCAAAACUGACGCUGAGGAGCGAAAGCGUGGGGAGCGAACAGG
rnacentral:rRNA from 1 species